rnacentral:misc_RNA from 1 species
CUGGAACAAACGCCCUCACGGGUGCUACCCAGAAACCCUUUGUGAAUUAUACUUAAUCGUUGCCUCGGCAUUGGUUGACUUCGAAUGGAGUCCCUUAGUCUGUAUUUUCUAAGGAGCCGACCGGCCGACGGCCCCUAUAAACUCUUUGUUUUUGUAUUAUCUUCUGAGUAAAACAACUAAAAUGAAUCA